UGCAAGUCGAGCGGGCGUAGCAAUACGUCAGCGGCAGACGGGUGAGUAACGCGUGGGAACAUACCUUUUGGUUCGGAACAACACAGGGAAACUUGUGCUAAUACCGGAUAAGCCCUUACGGGGAAAGAUUUAUCGCCGAAAGAUUGGCCCGCGUCUGAUUAGCUAGUUGGUGAGGUAACGGCUCACCAAGGCGACGAUCAGUAGCUGGUCUGAGAGGAUGAUCAGCCACAUUGGGACUGAGACACGGCCCAAACUCCUACGGGAGGCAGCAGUGGGGAAUAUUGGACAAUGGGCGCAAGCCUGAUCCAGCCAUGCCGCGUGAGUGAUGAAGGCCCUAGGGUUGUAAAGCUCUUUUGUGCGGGAAGAUAAUGACGGUACCGCAAGAAUAAGCCCCGGCUAACUUCGUGCCAGCAGCCGCGGUAAUACGAAGGGGGCUAGCGUUGCUCGGAAUCACUGGGCGUAAAGGGUGCGUAGGCGGGUCUUUAAGUCAGGGGUGAAAUCCUGGAGCUCAACUCCAGAACUGCCUUUGAUACUGAGGAUCUUGAGUACGGGAGAGGUGAGUGGAACUGCGAGUGUAGAGGUGAAAUUCGUAGAUAUUCGCAAGAACACCAGUGGCGAAGGCGGCUCACUGGCCCGUUACUGACGCUGAGGCACGAAAG
rnacentral:rRNA from 1 species